UGAAACAGAGAAGCCAAACCCUAAGGAAAUGCUCAGGCCAGGCUGUAUGUGCCUUUAGCAGAAUUCUGAAGUGUGAGAUCUUGAUGGAAGCUCUGACAAAACGAGGGGCAAAACAGGGCUGGGUGGGAAAACACCCAGUGCUCUGAAGGUUAGUCCAGAGUGAGAAGCAAAACCUGAAUCCCCAAGGCAGGACUCCAGGCACUAGGAACUGAGCUGUGCAAGUCAGAGAAGGCUGGUCAGCCAGACUAACUCCCUGUUAAGCCAGGUAAGCUACAGACAUAGGGCUUCUUGAAUCCCCCUUAGCAAGGCAGGGCUGAGUGUGGGAGUGGAUGUGGAAGGUGGUGAGCUGGCAGAUCAGGGCACUCCGUAUUCCUCCUACCCACUUUCUUCCCCACCAGUUGGUUUCCUUGCGUUGCUUUGAAACAAGAUGCUGUCUUGUGCCUGCCUCCGUCAAAGACUGAAACCUUUGUUUAAUGUUAGAAAAUACCAUGUUUAAAGGAGUCUCUGUUAGAGCAGCUGUACUAUAGAAUCAAGGAAUGAAUUUUGGGUAGGAAGACAGAGAACCACAUUCUUGCCCAAGAAUUUUUGACCUGGUAUUCGUGAAAUGACCUUCAGUGUGUUUACAAGUCUCCCAAACAAAUCUGCAAAAUUGUGUGGGUUUGCUUUAAAUUCAUGGAGAGAAGAAUUCAUUUAACUAUGAAUUGCCGUCAUGCAGAACUAUGCCCUCGAAAGUAUUCAUGCUUCUCAUUUAUAGAUGAGAACUUGGCACACAGAGAUGGCAGGACUUGGAGCUCCUCAUCAGUAAGGCUUUUGUUUUACAUCAAUGUAUCUCCAACAUAUAUUAGUCAAUCAAGGAACAUAUGUAGAGUGAAUGGAUGAUGAGUAAAUGGAUGGAUGAUGGAUGAAUGAAUGAAUGAAGGCUUCCUGCUGUCAGUCCACUCAUACUCUCACUGCAUCCCCACCAUGCCCCAUUGACUGCUCCAACUCCAGCUUCAUGUUGGGAUGGUGAAUGCCAAGCAGGGCAACUUCGGGAUCCGGGGUAGAUGCAGUGGUGCAGAAGAGCUGGGGCCUCAGGGUACAGAGGCCUCCACUGCACGAAAGCCCCACCUGGUACAUUCUUCCCUUGGGGACCAUCACCCUGUCCCCACUGUUCCACCACCUCUUCUCAGGAAAAGAGUGAGCUGGGGUGACCUGCGCUAGUGAAACCGGCCCUUGGUCCUGAUAUCCAAAGCUCACCUGUCCUGCCUCCGGCUCUGGAAAUGUUUUGUCUUGUGUAUUUUUCAAGACAGUGAAAGAAGACACAGUUUCAUGUUCGAGAAACUGAAGUUCUCAGAGAUUCAGUAACUUGCCUGAAGUUACUAAUAAGUGGUCAAGCUGCAGUUUAAACCUAAACCCAUCGAAGUGCAUGUUGCUUCCAGCUGGGACACCCAGCCCACUUAGGGAUGGCUGGAAUCCUAAGUCCUUCUGUGUCAUAUCUGAGUGUCGACGGAAGUAGCAGAUGCCCAUCCUCAUGGUGAGAACCUUUUCAGACACGGGGUUGGUGACCUGUCCCCAAAGGUCAGUGCAGUGGUCCUGUGUGGGGUGCAGUGUAGGGUAGGGCUCAGCAGGCAAGGUCUUCAAGCCUGCACAGCCAGCCCCAAGCUCUGGAUCUCUGAUUAUUAUGGAAUUGGAUGGGAACAUGAUUCUAACAUAACCCAAGUGCCGAAAGAGAGCAAAUACUCAAAUGGGAAAGCACUGAUGAAUGAAGGUGGAGCUUACCCAAGUUCAAAUAGCUUAACAUUUGCAGGAUUCUCAUAGGAUCUUUACCCUAUGGCUUUUUCCCCCCAGAAAUUUCAAGAAAGGACCAUUAUUAGUGAUGGGAGGAAGGCACCUUGAUACUACUUUCUAACAUCCUUAAAGAAAAACCCCUGGAUGUUCUGAUAUAUUUAAGAAGAAAUAAGAGAUAGGAAGAUAAAUCAGAAGUCCAAAACCCUAGAGUUCUAAGGCCUGCUCUUUCAUUAACUAACUAUAUGACUGGUGGCAACUCAUGCUCCAUGCCUCAGUUUACCCAUAUUUAAAAUAAAAGAUUUGGGCUGGAUCAUUUUUGGUAAAUGCUCAAACUUUAAAAUAUUAUAAGCCAAUAAUGGAACAAAACUAAGUUUCUUCUGAUAAAUGUGUUUCUUUCUCCUGGGCUCCUUCUUCUGUCCUGUAAAAACUGCCCUGACCACCUCCUUUCAAAAGAGUAUUUCCUGUGCUGUGGUGAAACCUCUGUCUUCUUUUCCAAGGCCACAUGCUUCUGCCCACACUAACUUCCCAAGCACUUUCAGGCAUCAGUUCAUUUUCCUCAUAUCACCUACCACAACUUGUCAUUAUAUAUUUAUAGAUUUGUUUGUUUUAUAGAGACUGUUUCUCCUAUGAGAUUGCAAGUUCCAUGAGAACAGCUACUAUGCCUGCUUUGUUUACCAACGCAUAUUCACUGUCCAGCAUUGUGUGUGGAACAUAAAAGGCUCUUGGUUAAUGCCUGCUGAAUAAAUGAAUCUGUCAUCUUCCCUUUUUUGAUCAUUAUCAUAGGUAUCAUUUGUUAAGGGCUUACUAGGGAUCAGACAUUGAGCUGAUGCUUUGCAUGUAUUACCUCAUGAACACAUCACAACAACCUCACCUGGCAGGUUGCAUCUGUUUUGCAGAUGAAGUCACUGAGGAUCCAAGAGGUCAUGGAGCAAAUGCACUCUAGAACCUGGAUCCAAACCACAGCUGACUCACUCAGAGUCUAAGUACUGAGCCCUUGCAAAGUACUACCUUGGGUCCUCAGUGACUCUGAGCAUUAGGUCGGACAUGUAGUAGGUUCUCAGGAUAUGUGUACUGAAUUGAGUCUCUGUGUGAUGGAGCUAACAGAUGGUAAAUGGAGGUCAGUAUUUAUGACCCAUGGGGCUGAUAAUCUGAAGCUUCAAUGCCUGAGGUGGAUUCUGAAAUCUGGAGCAAGGAUUGGUAGAGUAGAAAAUCUCUUUCUAACAAUGAGAUUCAUUCUUGUGUGCGUGGAGAGUUUAACAGAGCUCCUUUCUUCCACCGUAUGAGGGUGUGACUUCAAAUUUUUCUUGAAAUGCACAUUUUUAAUUAGAAGAUUUUAUGUGGGUUGCCAAGCUUCUGAGAACUAAAAGGACACUUGUGCCUCGGGGACACUUACAGAGACUGGUCCCUCGGUAAGUGCAUAAUAAAAAAUACACAGAGAGCAACUGAAAUUAAACCCACAGGGAACCCAUUGCACUUGGUUUCAAAUACCUAAAGACUUGACAGCUACAGAAUAAAGAGAAAGAACAGAAACAAAAGUCAAUGCCAAUUUGCUUAAUUUGGGGUUCUUUUUCCUGAGAGUAUCUUUCUGAGAAUCUAGAGUUGGCAGAAAUGUUGGAGACUGUCAGGUCUAAGACCCCCUCCUGCAGAUGGGAGACUGAGGCCCGAAGAAGUUGUGGCAAGGUCAAAGCAAGGUCAAACCAAGUGAGCUAUGGGUCAGAAAGAAGAGAAGGCAUCACUGUGUGCUACAGCAGGGCCCUAGGAGAAAUUUGCUGGUGGUGAGGAAGAUGGGGAUUGGUGGGGAUUGCAAGAGUAGGGGGUGGGGCGGACAGCUCUCUAGCAAUAUGGCUUCUGCUCUGUUCAAAGCGAAAUUAGAAAUUGUUCAAACAGAAAAUGAGUAUGUCAAGAAAAUCACAUGUCAAGGAAUAUAGAGUCACUUAUUAGUGUUUGUCUCCAGAACAUAAUCUAACGGACUGUAGGAGAAAUCCCAGAUUCUCUUGGGCUCCUUUGCUGCCUCAAGCUCUCUUAUACUUGAAUCCCCCACCCUUAGACACAUUGCUGUCCCUUAAACUUGAGAGUAGCGCCAAUAAAUCUCCAAAUAGCCUGGACUGAACUGGAAUCAGAAUAAUAUUAAUGCACUUAAGGAAAGAAUGGGUCAUUGAAAAGGUGAGGGGUAGUAUCUUAGAAUAUAUAAUUCAAAGGGGAGAAUAGCCUGGUACAUUCAGCACUGCCCAGGUGAAAGGAAUACAGUAUGUGAAGGACGCUAGUAGCUCUAAUCACCAGAGGUAUAGGGUAGGAUGUAGAAGUAUUUCACAGGGAAUUUUAAUAAAAUGUUUCUCCAAGCUGGAUCUGAUUCCAUGGUUGCAAGUAAUCUUCAUAAACUUCAAUGACCAGGCCAGGUGUGGUGGCUCACACUGGUAAUCCUAGUAUUUUGGAAGGCCAAAGUGGGAGGAUCACUUGAGGUAAGGAGUUGAAGACCAGCCUCGGCAACAUAGAGAGAGCUCAUCUCUACAAAAAUUUUUUUUUAAUUAGCCAGGUGUGAUGGUACGUGCCCAUAGUCCUAGCUACUAAAGAGACUGAGGCAGGAGGACCCCCUCAAGCCCAGAAGUGAGCUACAGUGAGUUAUGAUCGUGCCACUGCACUCCAGCCUGGGUGACAGAGCGAGACCUUGUCACUAAAACAUUUAAAAAACAAAACACAACAAAACUUCAACAAUUGAUGACCUGGUGUGUGUUAUUUUUAAAAUCUUGAUUUUAAAGCUUGAUUCUAGGAAUGGGGUAUGAGCAUGUACACAGGACUGCUGAGAGCUGGUUUGAGCACAGUGAAGAAAUGAGACUUGGAGCCCCAUCAAAGGCAGACAGCUAGAAAUCUUCACAGGGGAUUUAUGCUCAAGUCCAAGUCUCCUUUCCACCCUGGCAGCUCCAGCAGCCUGUCCUUAGCUUCCACUUCCUGUGUAGUUCAUCAGCUCUGGAUGGACAUGAGUGGUCCUGUCACUGGGGAAAGAGAUCAUUCUUGCUAUAAAUACAUGGAUGGUGUGGCUUCAGUGUCCACCUCUGUGAAGUGAGUUGUUGAAACGAUAUCUUAGGAAGUCUAUGAACCUGUGAUAUGGUUUGGCUGUGCCCCCACCCAAACCCCAUCUUGAAUUCCCACGUGUGGUGGGAGGGACUCAGUGGGAGGUAAUUGAAUCAUGGGGGCAAGUCUUUCCUGUGCCGUUUUCAUGACAGCGAAUAAGUCUCACAAGAUCUGAUGGUUUUAAAAAGAAGAAUUCCCCUGCACAAGCUCCCUCUCGUUGCCUGCUGCCAUCCAUGUAAGAUGUGACUUGCUCUUCCUUGCAUCCACCAUGAUUGUGAGGCUUUCCCAGUCACGUGGAACUGUAAGUCCAGUUAAACCUCUUUCUUUUGUAAAUUGCCCAGUCUCGGGUAUGUCAGCAGUGUGAAAACAACGGACUAAUACAACCCAAUAGGGGAGGAUCUGAUCCCAAAGCCUGAUCAUGCUCUGAGGCAACAAGCCCCACUUUGGAGACACCUUAGCAGGCAGCCAUUCUUCACCAGGUGGCCCCAUUCUCCAUCGCCCAAGCACCGUCUUCUCAAUGCUGCCCCCUGCUGAUAGGCGUCUCUCACUCUGCAGUGCUGGGGUCCAUGGCUGGCCAUGACAGCAGGGUUUACCUGCCCUUGCCACUUGUUUUCACCUGACUGUGGUUAAGCCUCUUUACGUCCCUGAGUUUCUGUUGUUUCAUAUACACAGGAAAAAUGCUGCUUCAGAACCUUUCUCACAGCCCAAAUGAGAGCAUGUCUAGGAAAAGGUUUUAAAAGCAUCCAUCGUUUUACAGAUGUGAUAGGCUGGUAACAACUCCAUCAACACACAUUUCUAAAGAUGCUCCAUGUACACUCAUCAGUGUAAUGCAAAUCCCAUGAAGAUCCCCCUCUCCAGCCAUUUCCCUUGAAACAGACACCUUGGACACCUGUCCAAGACAGGUGGCCAGAUGCCAAGAGAUCUGAGGGUGACCUUAUUUUGUCCACCUUAGUGUUUUAUUACAAAAAAAGAAAAGUCUUGAUUUACUUCCAUUAAGAAACCAAGUCUUAUCUCCUAAACAUAAGUCCAUUUCUUCCUUGUUCUUUUUGGAAUACCGAAAAUGACCAUGAAGAAUCUAAUUCACAAAACAUCAUGCACUUGAAGACGAUCCUAAUGGUACCUUUCAGUUUGCUCAUCAGUAGACAAAUUAAAAUUAUCUCGAUUCCUAUAUAUCAUUCCCUACAUUUUACUGUGUCCCAUGUAUCAUUGUUUUUACUUCAUUAGCUAAAAAUUCAAAGCAUUAGAAACCAUUUUUACCUUUCUUUCUCCCUUCCUUCCUUCCUUCCUUUCUUUCUUUCUUUUCUUCCUUUCUUCCUUUCUUUUUCUUUUUUUGAAGACGGGGUCUCACUAUGUUGCCCAGACUAGUUUAGAACUCCACAUCUCAAGUCAUCCCUCCACCUCUAUCUCCCAAGUCGUUGGGAUUACAGGUGUGAACCACCAUGCCCAUGUCUGGACCAAUUUUUCUUUAAUACCAAACAGCACAAUUUGGGAAUCUCUGUUUUCUUACAACUCGUCUACUACCAGACCAUUUAACAGCUGUUCUGAACUAAAGGUGGGUAUAUUCACUUGCUUAGAACUUCUGCUUAAAAUUUAUUUAUAAUGCAGUUGUCCUAAUAAUAGUGUAGCUGUCCCAGUUGUCAUAGUAGUACGGUAUUUAUAACAUGACUAAAUAAAUCCCAAAUAUGGCUAAGAUUCUGGAGGAGGAAAUGAAGAACACUGAACUCUCUCAUCCUUCCCACUGACUUCUUUAGAAGGUUCUGAUGAUUAAUCUCCAUGCUGGAUACCUUGUGGCCCCAGCCUCUAAGAGCCUUUGGUCUAUGUCCUUAAGGCAGAUGCACAUACAGUGAAAUAGUGUUCACAAUAAAGCUGGUGCUGCAAAGGAUAAAACAUGCUUAUGUGAUAAAUCUUGGCAGGAAAGCAACAUAAUUCCCACUCAUAAAACAUUUUUCUCAGUCCACUCUCUGUGCCAUUCUGAAAAAAUCCGGAAAUCACACCAGCAUUCUUUAUUUUUAGCCCAUCCAAAAUUUCACUCACUUUAGGCGUGUGGGCAAGGAGCUAUCUUUAGAAUCAUCAACCAAAUGCAUUGGAAUCACAGAUUAUUAGGGCCUGGGUAACUCUCUAUUUGAUUUGUUUUUUCUUAGCCUGGGAACCCCAAUAUAGAAAACUCAGCUGGAAUGGGGACCCAAAGAGAAGUCAAGUGAGUGAGUCACUUGACUUCUCUGGGACCCAAAGUCUUGUCAAGUUGGUUUCUCCCAUUGUCUGCUGCUCAGACACUGUCAUGUAAUCUGAGGUUUUUAAGGAGCAACUGGACAACCACAGAUCCUGCACAACCACGGAUCCAGGCCAACCCUAUCAUUUUGCAGAUGAAGCAACAGAAGCCCACAGGGACGAAGUGACCAGCUCAGAACCUCCAGCAGUCACUGGCCAGGCCAGGAAAAGAAUUCAGGUCUCCUGACUUCCAAAUAAGUGUCCUUUCCAUGGCAUAUGCAUAAGAUAUGGUUACAAUGGAAACUACUUUUUUUCUUAUCCCAUUAGCCAGAAAAGUUCAUCUAAGAAACAGGUGACUGAUGGGAAAGUUUGCCUACUGGAGGCAUGAGGAAAUCAAGUUACUUUAUUGUAAUUAGACAGUAGUUCUUUUCUUUGACUGAGAGGAGAGUGAAAAGUGCAAGGAGAAACAAGACAAAGAACGACUGCCUAGAAGUUACUCCAUUAUGGUUUGCUGCACUGUCCUAUCCACAAAGAUACUUGCCUGCCAUUCCUUGCCUGUGUGACUUCCAGUGAGUCACUUGACUUCUCUGGACCUUGGAAGCUCUUGUGCUCUCUGAGAGCACAGCAGAGGCCCUGUUCUGGCCAUUGGACAUCAUGAAGAUCUGUUGUCCUCCCCAGAUGGACACACCCUAGAUCAGCACCUUCUUUUCUUCCUUGUCUCAGUACUUCUUAUAGAGCCAGGAUAUCCUUAAUGUUUUGUGGGUUUUUUUUGGGGGGGGGGUGCGGGGGCGGGUGGGGAGGGUAGGUAUUUUGUGCAUUGAAUAAUUGUCUUCCCAGUUGGAUAUUUUUUGGGGGCUUUGACUGUGUCUUUUUGCUUCUUUUAACAUGUUUCUUGCUGGGUCUUGUCUCGCUUAUAAGGCAGGAACCCAGACCCCUGCAACGAGUCGCACUCUGGUAUUUCCAGAAGCCCUGGAUGGCUUUAUAUGUGCUCCCAUACAAUUAGUUCAGCCAUCUUUGUCUCUUAACACUGUUCCAGAACUCUCUGCGCAGACCAUGACAUCUUCCUGGCAUCACUGAUACUUCCACUGGGCACUGCUAUGCCCUCUUGUCACUGCCUUACCAGCUGCAGAAAAUGACUAUAGUUGCUCCCUUUAUUUUCUUUCUUUUUCUGAUGUGUGUGUAUUUCCAAUUUCCCCCCUCCCUUUCUGCUACUAUUUAUUUAGUCCCCAGGUGACUGGAUAGCUAGAUAGGAUUUUGACUGCACUGGAAAAGGAAUAAACACCACCCAGAGCUGGAAACACUGACCAUGAGACAUGGAGUCUUUCCUCCUGCGGGGAAGGGAUGGACAUUUUCAUUUGUAGAAGGGCUAGUUGUAUAAGGUAAGAGCAUGCUGCUGCUGUUAUCAUUUAAAAGUUUAAUUAUGGAAAGAAGCAUAUAUGUGGAUGUUAAAUAAUAAAAAAGGUGGAAUAUUGCUCACUCAACACCUAUCUCAAGCCUCUGAGCUUGCCUUUCUGAGCUACAGGAUAGAAAACUAAAAUUAGAUUUCCUAAUUCUUCUUCCAGCUAGGGAGCUUCCUUGAGAAAUGGUGUAGUACAAGUCCUGAAAUUAAGAUUAAAUAGCAUGGGGAGGCCUCAAAUGGCCUAAUCUCAAGUCCCUUGCCCACUCUGCUGUGGCAGAUAAGGUCCCCUAACCAAACAAGCCCUCCUUGUCAGGGAGACCAGGCCCAGUGUCUGCUUAUCCCUGAGUGGUGGGCUUCAGGCCCCUGCCAGCACACAGAAAUAUUCAGACAAGCCACAUGCAUCCUCUCGUGGGAAGCAGGCCUCACCUCACCCUCUGUUAUUGGAAAGACUGCCUCCCACAGACCCUGUUUGUUCAUUGUGCUCCCAAAUAGAAUCCCCAUAUGGCCCUGUACAGUAUGCACUGUCCUCCUCCCCUGGACAGUGAGUGUAUAUGACUAAUAAACUGAUGUUUAUUUCAUCUAUCCGGUGCUGGGUGUCAUAUGUUUGACCAUUCCUAUAACCCUAGAGGGCUAGGGAAACCCUCCCUCAACAAUUACCUGAAGAGGAAGUGAUUGAAAUACAUGGCUCUAGCAAAUAGGUGGUCUUGCAUGAGAUUUUGGGGCAGAAGUAAGAAACAUGGGAGUAGCAAUGUGGAGAGUACAGAGACAGAGGCAUCUGUUCUUCCAGGGGAGCCGUGGAGAAAAUGGUAGUUUUCACCAUGGAAUACUAUGCAGCCAUAAAAAGGAAUGAGAUUGUGUCCUCAGCAGGGACAUGGAUAAAGCUGGAAGCCAUUAUCCUCAGCAAACUAACACAGGAACAGAAAACCAAACACUGCAUGUUCCUGCUUACAAGUGGGAGCUGAAUGAAGAGAACACAUGGACACAGGGAGGGGAAAAACACAUAGUGGGGCCUGUUGAGGGGUGGGAGGGAGAGCAUCAGGAAGAAUAGCUAAUGGAUGCUGGGCUUGAUACCUAGGUGAUGGGUUGAUCUGUGUAGCAAACCACCGUGGCACACAUUUACCUGUGUAACAAACCUGCACAUCCUGCACAUGUACCCAGGAACUUAAAAUAAAAGUUGAGGAUAAAA
rnacentral:lncRNA from 10 species